UUUUAUAAGAGUUGUCCUGAAGUGGGAAUAUGUGACUGAAUCGGUGCUGUCCAUUCCCGGCAGUUGAUUACUCUGUUGACUGUGCUGUCGUUGCAGGCAGCCUCUCUUGGACGGCCUACCAGCGUGUGGGUCAGAGGAAUGCAUCGCCCUCUUAACAGACCUCAUCCGGGACGAGGAGAUAGAGCAGGAGCGGGCCCACUCUUUUCUCACCACCAUCGCCCUCAUCCCUCACCCCUCACCACACAUCGUCGGCUCCGUCAACGUACGUAGGUCUGAAGGGACGUUCUGUGGGGAUAUUGACUUUGGGUUGAACAAAAACAGAGGUAUAGAUGCUGUACCUAUUUUAUUCGCCAUCUCAAAUUAUUUAUAUGGCUGAGAAUGUUCAAUAUAGGUCUACAUAUAAUUCAAAAUCGUCGCAGGAAACUCAACUGACACCUUUACUCUGCGACACUGUUGAGGUCACAUCCAACCACGCAUGCUUUGGCGUCACCCAUUAAACACAUAAUCAGAGAUAAACAUACAAAUACAAUGGGUCCAUAAUAUAAGGCCGUUGUUUUUCCCCUCCUUUUCUCUCAGGCGUUGCUGAAGACACCUGAGGUGUGGACCAAGGCCCUGUUGACUGGUUCUUCCCUGGUCCACCUGCUAUGUCGGAGGAGCCAGUCUCCCUGCAGUCUCAUCCCCCAGGUCCAGAGCUUCAUACAGGCACUGAAAGACACCCUGGGAGAGGGCUGUGGAGGAGACAAAACAGAGCUGCUCUACGCAUUGAAAGCAGUGGGAAAUGCGGGCUUGGCUGCUUCAGCUCUCAUCCCUCAGCUAAACCUCUGUAUACAGAGCCAUUCCACCCCUCUGGAGCUGAGACUCACUGCCCUACAAGCUUUCAGACGCAUCCCCUGCAAUGCUGACAGGGGGUCUGUGCUGCGGCUCUACCGUGACCACCAGGAGGAGGUGGAGGUCAGGAUCGCUGCAUACCAGCAGAUAAUGCACUGCCCCGACCCCGAAGUGCUUCGAGCAGUGAAGACGACUCUGAGCCAUGAGACCUCCAGCCAAGGUUUGGAAAAAAAGGGUUCCAAAAGGGUUCUUUGGCGCUCCCCCAUAGGGACUUUUUGGUUCCACGUAGAACCCUUUAGGGUUCCAUGUAGAAUCCUCAUACGAUUUUAUUUUAGGUCCUAGAUUGCACCAGUGCUUAAUUUGUAAAUUGCAAGGUGCCGGAACAAAUACGUGAGCCAGAGAGGAGAGUGACUUAGGAGACUCUGUGGUCCUAGAAAACAUGAAAAAUAAAUCCCCUUUAUAAUAAAGCAUUGCAUGGAUUAUCAUUGCGUUUGCAUACUAGCAUAGAGGAGAAGCAUAGAGGCGCUUGCAGAAGUUGCACACAUGAGGACAUUUUUUUUGUAGCCUAUGUUCCGGGAAAACGGUUGCCUUUUAUAAACGCAUUUCAUGCAAUUCAUUUCAUGCGAGGUCCUCUGGUAUCACGGCUCUUGCAGCAUGAACUGACAUGUUGUCCACCCAAUCAAAGGAUCAGACAAUGAAUCUAGUACUGAAAGCACAAGCUACAGCUAGCCCUGCAGUGCAUCAAAUCUGUUGCGUAGUUGACUCAAAGAGAGAGAAAGACAAUAGUUG
rnacentral:lncRNA from 13 species